GUGCAGCAGUCGAGAAUACUUCACACUGCGCGAAAGCGCGAUGAGGGAAUCCCAAGUGCUUGCACGUAAGUGUAAGCUGUUUUCCCUGUCUAAAAAGCAGAGAGAGUAAGGGCUGGGUAAGACGGGUGCCAGCCGCCGCGGUAAUACCUGCAGCUCAAGUGGUGGCCGCUAUUAUUGGGCCUAAAACGUCCGUAGCCGGUCUAGUAAAUGCCUGGGUAAAUCGUGAGGCUUAACCUUACGAAUUCCGGGGUAGACUGCUAGACUUGAGACCGGGGAGAGGCUAGAGGUACUCCUGGGGGUAGAGGUGAAAUUCUGUAAUCCUAGGGGGGACCACCGAGUGGCGAAGGCGUCUAGCUAGAACGGGUCUGACGGUGAGGG
rnacentral:rRNA from 1 species